rnacentral:lncRNA from 1 species
GUUGAAAUCUUAACCUAAUCCUAAGUCUAAGCUUUCCUAUAUAUUGCCACCAAUUCUUUUCAAUUGUGCAAUAUCUCUUUUCCUAAAAAUCAGCAUCAACAAAUCUUCCAAUUUGUGAUCUGAGGAUAUUCUAGUUUGUGAAUCACGUCCAAACAAGAUCAGCCAAUGGAAACUCUCCACGUCAUCACGUCUUAGUUCCUUCUGUCCACGUCGAUGUGUUACACAUUAUCGUCCAUGUGUAACACAACAGCA